rnacentral:tRNA from 1 species
GUCUUCGUAGUCUAACGAUAGGACACUCGGCCCGUAUUCGAGAAUUCCAAGUUCAAGUCCCGGCAAAGGCA